rnacentral:rRNA from 1 species
GCCGUCUUUAAUGGAUACCUAGGCAAAACAAUAUGAGGACGUAUUCACACGAAACACAAACGUGGAAUCCUCAGGGAAACCGUUGAUAUCUUACUCAGUGAAUUGAAACAUCUUAGUAACUGAGGAUCAAAAUCAACCGAGGAAGUCGUGAGUAGUGGCGAAUGAAAGCGAUUGUUUUUAGUCAAAUUUUGGGAAAUUUAGUCUUGAUAGAAUAAAAAGAUUGGAAAGUCUUUGCCUUAGAAAGUAAUAGCCUUGUGUUCCUAUCAUGCCAAAUAUUAUUGUAGAGAGUUUAUGUUUUGAGUAGGGCGAUGAUUCAUUUGUCUGAACGAAGGGGAACCAUCCUCUAAACCUAAUCAAAUUGUUUUGACCGAUAGUGUAAAGUACCGUGAGGGAAGGGGUGAAAAAUCUUCUUGUUAAGUAGUGAAAAUUGGAAAUUGAAGAUGAACAAGCAGUCGAAGGCAUCUUUAGUGCCAACGGCGUACCUUUUGCAUAAUGGAUCUGCGAGUUAUUGGUGUAUGCAAGCUUAAACGCGCGAGUUGUUUUGAAAGCUUAUAGUAAGUUUACAUCAUUAGACCCGAAACUGAGUGAUCUAAGUAUGAGCAGCUUGAAGGGUUGUGAAAGCAAGCUGGAGGAGCGAACCCACAAAUGUGGCAAUAUUUGGGGAUGACUUGUGCUUAGGAGUGAAAGGCUAAUCAAACUCAGAGAUAGCUGGUUUUCUUCGAAAUCUAUUGAGGUAGAGCGUCUUUCUUAGGUCAUCGAGGGUAGAGCACUUCUUGGGUAUGGGGGGCGUAAAGCUUUACUGUGCUCAGGAAAACUUCGAAUAGCGUUGACUAGAAAGGCAGACAGAGUUUGGGCGGAAAGGUGCGAACUCAAAAGGGAAAGAGCCCAGAUCACAUGCUAAGGUCUUUAAUGUCUUUCUGAGUGGGAAAAGAUGUUCGAAAAUUGAAAUAUGUUAGAGGUUGGCUUAGAGGCAGUCAUUCUCGUAAGAAAGCGUAAUAGCUCAUGCCAAAAGUUUUCGAAGUCUGAAAAUGUAACGAGGCUCAAGAAAUGAAACCGAAGCAUUGAAUUCCUCUUAUUGAGGGAUGGUAGAAGAACGUUGUGUAUGUCUCAUAAAAAAGUUGUUAAAUUUUAUUUAGGACAUCACAAGUGACUAUGCAGAUAUGAGUAACAUGAAAUUAUGUGUAAUACAUAAUCACCGAAACUCUAUAGGUUUUUUAAUGAAGUCAUACGGCCCCUAAGGUAAAAUUCGAUAGAAUUUGUCGAUGGGUAAGUUUAAGAAAGUUUGGUCUUUUCAAAUACAGUCUUUCUCAAUGAAUUGAAAGUUUGUUUUUAAGGUCAACGAGAAAACCCUUAAACAUGUAUACCGUACUAAAACCAACGCAGGUAGAGAGGUAGAAAUCUACUCAGGUGAAUUGAAUAAUCCAUCUUUAAGGAACUCGGCAAAUUGACUCCGUAACUUCGGGAGAAGGAGGACCUGUCGCUUAAACUUAAACGACGGGUGGCACAGAAUUGGGAGGAACAACUGUUUACCAAAAACACAGGACUUUGCCGAAAGCGAAAGCUGAUGUAUAAAGUCUGACGCCUGCCCGGUGCUGGAUGUUGAAAGGGAGGGGUGCGUGCAUUUAAUGUACAAGCUCUGAACGGAUAGCCCAGUAAACGGCGGUCGUAACUCUAACGAUCCUAAGGUAGCGAAAUUCCUUGUUCACUAAUUAUGGACCUGCAUGAAUGGCGUAAUGAUUCCUCCGCUGUCUCAAAGAUGGAUUUGGUGAAAUUGAAUUCUCCGUGCAGAUGCGGAGUAUUGGCGCCUAGACGGGAAGACCCCGUGCUUCUUUACUACAGCUUUUCAUUGAUUUUCUGUUUUCGAUGUGCAGGCUAAGUGGGAGAGCUUAAGCAAUUAAGUUCAAACGUGAGAUACCACUCUUUGUCUAUGGGAAAUCUUAUUCGAUUAUCGAAAAAAGUGAAUGGUGGGUAGUUUGACUGGGGCGGUCGCCUCCUAAAGAGUAACGGAGUGCGUGCGAAGGCAGGCUCAAGCGGAAUGGAAACCCGCCUGAGAGCAUAAUGGUAUAAGCCUGCCUAACUGUGAGAUAGACAUAUCAAGCAGAGAUGAAAGUCGGUCAUAGUGAUCCGGAAAGUGAUUAUGGAAUCCUUUUCGCUCAACGAAUCAAAGAAACGCCGGGGAUAACAGCCUAAUUAUUCCCAAGAGCUCUUAUCGACGGAAUAGAUUGGGACCUCGAUGUUGACUCAUUGCAUCCUGGUGGUGGAGAAGCUGCCAAGGGUUGGACUGUUCGUCCAUUAAAGCAGUACGCGAGUUGAGUUCAGAACGUCGUGAGACAGUUCGGUUCCUAUCUAGCGCCAAUGUGUUUAAUAUUGAAAGAACGAUUCCUUAGUACGAGAGGACCGGGAAUCAGGAACCUCUGGUGUUUCGGUUGUUUUGUCAGAAGCAUCGCCGAGAAGCUAUGUUCCUCUAGAGAACCGCUGAAAACAUAUAAGUGGGAAACUAAUCUUAAAACGAGUAUUUUAUUUUUGUAGAAGAAGAGUACGUCGAUAGAUAAGAAUAUUCUUUUUGGCAACAAAAUUAUUUCUUAUACUAA